rnacentral:lncRNA from 1 species
UAAUAUUAUAACUGGUAAUAACAACAGGUAUUCACUGAGCACUUACUCUGGCCAGGUACUGCACAGAGCACUGUACACAUAUUUCUAAUUAUCCCAUAGACACUAAGGUACAUAUGAAGAGCAUCUCCUUACUAUGAUGGAGAUUUAAAGAUGUUAAUUUGCUCAUGGUCACACAGCUGUCAUUUGUCAGAGUUAAGACUAAGCCAGGGGUUUGCAAUCUCCUUUGGCAUGCAACAGUGAAUUAUGUAAAUGAGGCAGUAUCCAAUUUUUAAUUAAGAUCUUUAUUACUAAAUGUCGGCAUCACCAGCACUAACACAAAGAUAGGCCUGUGAUACUUUUUACAAGAUAUUUGCUGAAUUAGACAUUUUCCUACACUCUCAGCCUGGUAUGAAAAAUACAUACAGGGUUGUAAUAUAAUAUUAAUGGCUGCCUGAAGUGUUGUCAGAACACAAAUAAGGUGGGGAGGAUGGUGUCAGGGGAGGCUUACACAUAGGAUAGGGCAUUUUGAGGAGGGCUUUAAGGACUGAUUAGGAAACUGCUAAGCAUAACAGAAAGAAGUAUGCCAAACAGAGGGACUAGGAGGACCAAAGAUAUAGGUACAGAAAUAUGAGGAAUUCUGCAAAAAUAAUCAGCUUGUAUCAGUGGCUCUCAAAAUUAAGCAUUCAAUGGGAAUCAUCUGGAGGCUUGUGAAAUGCCCCAGAGCUUCAGAUUCAGUAGGACUGGGUGAGACCAAGAAUUUGCAUUCCUAAUGAUUCUCAGGUGCUGCUGAUCCUCCUUGUCCCAGGACAACACUGUGUUGAGAGCCCUGUUCUACAGAGAAAGAUGUCUGGAAACCCCAAAGUUUGUGUGUAUCUGAGAGGCGUGCCAAAGCCUGCAAGACUUGCACCAAAAGAAAAUUCCCGGAAGAGAUGAGAAUUUCUUCUCUUUCCUGCGAGAGUGGUGGUUCAAUUUUACUGUUGGUUUUGGGAGCAAUUCAUGCUGAAGCUGUCCAGUGGGAGGAAGCAGGGAAACCACAACUCCGGACUGAAAUGAGGGCACCUGGGAUUUUAUUGCCACUCUGCCCCAUCAGUGCCCCUAUUCACGCGCCACUGAGGGCCUGCGGCUACAGAGGAGGAAGCACACUGGCUCUUUUGUGUUUGCAUCCAACUUGCAGGGACGAUGGCAUUUGUCAGAGCUCUUCCUCCAGUUUUCAUCCUUUGUCCGCUGACCACAGAGCCAUGCGUCAAGUAACGAGAGCCCCACGGACAACAAAUGAGAAAUACCAGAAAAGCGAUGCUUGCCAGCUGUGGGCACCUCAGGCCCAGGCGCCUUUUGAAGUCAAUGGGAGAACUUUGAUGACUCAAGAGGAAGAACAGUAACGAGAAUGGGGUGAGUAGUGGGGCUUCAGACCAAAUCUUUGACACAAAGCUACUUCUCAACAGACUUAUUUCACAAGACAAGUUUAAAUGAUUAUCAGAGACAGGACUAGGGUGAAGUGACUGAGGUAUUUAGGGCAGAAAGCUAGGAAAGCAUUAACUCUCAGAAUUAAACACAUGCAAACACUGAUCCACUUUCUACCAUUAUGUAUUACCUUUACCUUUUCAAAGACUUGGAAUGAAAUUACACCAUGUGUUCUCCUUUGUAUCUGCCUUCUUUCACUAAGCAUGUUUUGAGGUUAAAUCCAUGCUGUCAUAUGUAUCAAUACCUCAUUCUCCUUUAUUGCUUAAGGUUCUGUUUUAUAAAUUUUCAUCCUAUCACAUACCACAUGUUAUAAAUAUACCAUUUCGUAUCUUAUAAUGUACUUUUUUUUAUUUAACAUUUCAUAAAUAUACCACACUGUGUUAUCUAUCCAUCUGUUCAUGGGCAUUUCAGUUGUUUCCACUUGUUGCUUAUAAUGGAUAAAGUUGUUGUAGUAUUUGUGUCAAAAUUCUUUUUGUGGACAUUUCUCUUAGGUAAAUGCCUUGGAAUGAAAUUGCUAUUUCAUAGAGUAAGUGUUUAUUUAAGUCAAUUAAAAAAACCUCCCAAAAUGUUUGCUCAAAAAUUUGUAUAGGAGUUCUUGUCGUGGCACAGUGGAAACAAAUCUCACUAGGAACCAUGAGGUUUCGAGUUCAAUCCCUGGCCUCCCUCAGUGGGUUAAGGAUCUGGUAUUGCCAUGAGCUAUGGUGUAGGUAGCAGACGCAGCUCAAUUCCAGAGUUGCUGUGGCUGUGGGAUAGGCAGGCCAGCAGCUAUAGCUCCUAGCCUGGGAAGCUUCAUAUGCCACAGGUGCGGCCCUAAAAAUUCAAAAAAAAAAAAUUUUGUACAAUUUUACACAACUGUCUGCAGUGUAUGAGAGUUCCAGAUGCUCACCAAUGCUUAUUAUUGUUAGCCAUUUUAAUUUU